rnacentral:misc_RNA from 1 species
AGAGACCAAUGAGCAGUAGGCAUUGUCUUGUUUCAUAUGUAAGUAUUAAUAUACCAAGGGGUUAUUGAAAUUAAAUUCCUCCCUCAUCUAUUUAUUUUGGGUUGUGUUCAAAAAGGCCAAAACUGUGCUGAUGAGUUGCUGACCAGGUAGAAAUUAAAAGCGUAAUCUGGGGAUUUAUUUAGUGUAGUCAAGAUGUUCUUUAGAUUCAUCUUGCAAUGUUACCAGCUGCACUCAUGUUAGGGCUGUCAGAAGCAUGCAGAGCUGUUCUAGACUAGUCAUGAUUGCUCAUUUUUGUUUGUCAUUAAGCAAUCUAAUUGGAUGUGGCAUGUAUUACAAACUUGAAUUAAACAGGCGAAGGCAAACUAGGCUGAGGCAACAGUGCAUAAUGAGUGAGAUAGGCUUACUCAGGCUAGGACUAAGCAUUGCUAAAAGGUUAGAACUAAUUAAUUAGGUAGCUAGCUCUUCACCCUUAUAAGCCCUUUGAA